rnacentral:rRNA from 1 species
GGUUAAGUGACUAAGCGUACACGGUGGAUGCCUAGGCAGUCAGAGGCGAUGAAGGACGUGCUAAUCUGCGAAAAGCGCCGGUGAGCUGAUAUGAAGCGUUAUCAGCCGGCGAUGUCCGAAUGGGGAAACCCGGUGCAAUUCGUUGCAUCAUCGUUAAGUGAAUCCAUAGCUUAACGAAGCGAACCAGGGGAACUGAAACAUCUCAGUACCCUGAGGAAAAGAAAUCAACCGAGAUUCCCCCAGUAGCGGCGAGCGAACGGGGAACAGCCCAGAGCCAUCAUCAGCUUGCGCAUCAGGAGAACGGUCUGGAAAGUCCGGCGACAGAGGGUGAUAGCCCCGUAUCCGAAGGUGUGCUUGUUGUGAGCUCGAUGAGUAGGGCGGGACACGUGAUAUCCUGUCUGAAGAUGGGGGGACCAUCCUCCAAGGCUAAAUACUCCUGACUGACCGAUAGUGAACCAGUACCGUGAGGGAAAGGCGAAAAGAACCCCGGCGAGGGGAGUGAAAUAGAACCUGAAACCGUGUACGUACAAGCAGUGGGAGCAUCCUUCGGGGUGUGACUGCGUACCUUUUGUAUAAUGGGUCAGCGACUUAUAUUCUGUAGCAAGGUUAACCGCAUAGGGGAGCCGCAGGGAAACCGAGUCUUAACUGGGCGUCUAGUUGCAGGGUAUAGACCCGAAACCCGGUGAUCUAGCCAUGGGCAGGUUGAAGGUUGGGUAACACUAACUGGAGGACCGAACCGACUAAUGUUGAAAAAUUAGCGGAUGACUUGUGGCUGGGGGUGAAAGGCCAAUCAAACCGGGAGAUAGCUGGUUCUCCCCGAAAGCUAUUUAGGUAGCGCCUCGUGACGUCAUCUACGGGGGUAGAGCACUGUUUCGGCUAGGGGUCCAUCCCGGAUUACCAACCCGAUGCAAACUGCGAAUACCGUAGAAUGUAAUCACGGGAGACACACGGCGGGUGCUAACGUCCGUCGUGAAGAGGGAAACAACCCAGACCGCCAGCUAAGGUCCCAAAGUCAUGGUUAAGUGGGAAACGAUGUGGGAAGGCCCAGACAGCCAGGAUGUUGGCUUAGAAGCAGCCAUCAUUUAAAGAAAGCGUAAUAGCUCACUGGUCGAGUCGGCCUGCGCGGAAGAUGUAACGGGGCUAAACCAUGCACCGAAGCUGCGGCAGCGACACGUAAGUGUUGUUGGGUAGGGGAGCGUUCUGUAAGCCUGCGAAGGUGGCCUGUGAGGGCUGCUGGAGGUAUCAGAAGUGCGAAUGCUGACAUAAGUAACGAUAAAGCGGGUGAAAAGCCCGCUCGCCGGAAGACCAAGGGUUCCUGUUCAACGUUAAUCGGAGCAGGGUGAGUCGACCCCUAAGGCGAGGCCGAAAGGCGUAGUCGAUGGGAAACAGGUUAAUAUUCCUGUACUGGGUGUGACUGCGAAGGGGGGACGGAGAAAGCUAGGUUCGCCGGGCGACGGUUGUCCCGGUUCAAGCGUGAAGGUGGAAUGAGCAGGCAAAUCCGCUCAUUCUCAACACUGAGGCGUGAUGACGAGCCACUACGGUGGUGAAGGAAUUGAUGCUACGCUUCCAGGAAAAGCCUCUAAGCUCCAGGUCACAUCGAAUCGUACCCCAAACCGACACAGGUGGUCAGGUAGAGAAUACCCAGGCGCUUGAGAGAACUCGGGUGAAGGAACUAGGCAAAAUGGUGCCGUAACUUCGGGAGAAGGCACGCUGGCAUGUAGGUGGAGGGCCUUGCGCCCCGAGCUGAAGCCAGUCGCAGAUACCAGCUGGCUGCAACUGUUUAUUAAAAACACAGCACUGUGCAAACACGAAAGUGGACGUAUACGGUGUGACGCCUGCCCGGUGCCGGAAGGUUAAUUGAUGGGGUUAUCGCUUGCGAGAAGCUCUUGAUCGAAGCCCCGGUAAACGGCGGCCGUAACUAUAACGGUCCUAAGGUAGCGAAAUUCCUUGUCGGGUAAGUUCCGACCUGCACGAAUGGCGUAAUGAUGGCCAGGCUGUCUCCACCCGAGACUCAGUGAAAUUGAACUCGCCGUGAAGAUGCGGUGUACCCGCGGCAAGACGGAAAGACCCCGUGAACCUUUACUAUAGCUUGACACUGAACAUUGAGCCUUGAUGUGUAGGAUAGGUGGGAGGCUUUGAAGUGUGGACGCCAGUCUGCAUGGAGCCAACCUUGAAAUACCACCCUUUAAUGUUUGAUGUUCUCACUCAGGCCCGUUAUCCGGGCCGAGGACAGUGUCUGGUGGGUAGUUUGACUGGGGCGGUCUCCUCCCAAAGUGUAACGGAGGAGCACGAAGGUUAGCUAAUCACGGUCGGACAUCGUGAGGUUAGUGCAAAGGCAUAAGCUAGCUUGACUGCGAGAGUGACGGCUCGAGCAGGUGCGAAAGCAGGUCUUAGUGAUCCGGUGGUUCUGAAUGGAAGGGCCAUCGCUCAACGGAUAAAAGGUACUCCGGGGAUAACAGGCUGAUACCGCCCAAGAGUUCAUAUCGACGGCGGUGUUUGGCACCUCGAUGUCGGCUCAUCACAUCCUGGGGCUGAAGUAGGUCCCAAGGGUAUGGCUGUUCGCCAUUUAAAGUGGUACGCGAGCUGGGUUUAGAACGUCGUGAGACAGUUCGGUCCCUAUCUGCCGUGGGCGCUGGAAGAUUGAGAGGGGCUGCUCCUAGUACGAGAGGACCGGAGUGGACGCACCACUGGUGUUCGGGUUGUCAUGCCAAUGGCAUUGCCCGGUAGCUACGUGCGGAAGAGAUAACCGCUGAAAGCAUCUAAGCGGGAAACUUGCCUCGAGAUGAGUCUUCCCUGAGGCCUAGAGCCUCCUGAAGGGACGUUAAAGACGAUGACGUUGAUAGGUCGGGUGUGUAAGCGCUGCGAGGCGUUGAGCUAACCGAUACUAAUGACCCGUGAGACUUAACCUUACAACACC